AGUGAACGCUGGCGGUAGGCCUAACACAUGCAAGUCGAACGGCAGCACAGUAAGAGCUUGCUCUUACGGGUGGCGAGUGGCGGACGGGUGAGGAAUACAUCGGAAUCUACUUUUUCGUGGGGGAUAACGUAGGGAAACUUACGCUAAUACCGCAUACGACCUACGGGUGAAAGCAGGGGAUCUUCGGACCUUGCGCGGUUGAAUGAGCCGAUGUCGGAUUAGCUAGUUGGCGGGGUAAAGGCCCACCAAGGCGACGAUCCGUAGCUGGUCUGAGAGGAUGAUCAGCCACACUGGAACUGAGACACGGUCCAGACUCCUACGGGAGGCAGCAGUGGGGAAUAUUGGACAAUGGGCGCAAGCCUGAUCCAGCCAUACCGCGUGGGUGAAGAAGGCCUUCGGGUUGUAAAGACCUUUUGUUGGGAAAGAAAAGCAGCAGGUUAAUACCCCGCUGUUCUGACGGUACCCAAAGAAUAAGCACCGGCUAACUUCGUG
rnacentral:rRNA from 1 species